ACCGCGAAUGGCUCAUUAAAUCAGCUAUGGUUUAUUGGAUCGUACCCGUUAUAUGGAUAACUGUAAUAACUCUAGAGCUAAUACAUGCCUCGAUGCCCAGACCCCGUCUAUUGCCUUCACGGGUGUAGGUGGGGAAUGGGUGCACUUAUUAGAUCAGAAGCCAACCAGUUGUCGCAUUGUGGCCACUCGUGGUCGCAGUGUGUACGCUGUAGAACUUCUGGUGACUCUGGAUAAUUGUUACAGAUCGCAGUCGGCCUUGUGUCGGCGACGGGUCCUUCAAAUGUCUGCCCUAUCAACUUUCGAUGGUAGGUGACCUGCCUACCAUGGUGAUAACGGGUAACGGGGAAUCAGGGUUCGAUUCCGGAGAGGGAGCCUGAGAAACGGCUACCACUUCCAAGGGAGGCAGCAGGCGCGCAAAUUACCCACUCCCAGCACGGGGAGGUGGUGACGAAAAAUACCGAUGCGGGACUCGUUCAUGAGGCCCCGUAAUCGGAAUGAAUGAAUCCUAAAUCCUUUCAUGAGGAUCAAUUGGAGGGCAAGUCUGGUGCCAGCAGCCGCGGUAACUCCAGCUCCAAUAGCGUAUAUUAAAGUUGCUGCAGUUAAAAAGCUCGUAGUUGGAUCUCGGUAGCAUUGUUGCCUGUGGAUAUUUGGACGGCAGUGUGUGACUGUCGAUAGGCGACUGCGUUGCCUUCCUGCCUGUGCUCGCUUAUGCGGUCAGCUUAGCUGUAGUUAGUUAGUGUCACUCCGGUGGCGCUCAACUGCUGCAGCGGCUAAUCGCGGCUUGUGCUGUGUAGUUGGCAUUGUGGUCGUGCUGUCGCGGUCAUAAACUAGCAUUGUCGUAUCAAGUCCGCAAGGCGAUGGUGUCACCUUUAAGCCAUGUCUGUGGUCUUUGGCUACAGGUGUAGGCGGGUGUUAGACUGAGCUCUGCAUUACUGUGGGGCCUAGUCGGCUCGUCUGCAUGCCUUUGGAUGCCCUUAAAAAGGUGUCUUGGGGCGGAUGGCACGUUUACUUUGAACAAAUUUGAGUGCUCAAAUCAGGCCGAUGUUGCCUGAAAAGUUUUGCAUGGAAUAAUGGAAUAGGACUUCGGUUCUAUUUCGUUGGUUUUCGGAUCCGAAGUAAUGAUCAAAAGAGACAGGCGGGGACGUUUGUAUGGCUGCGCUAGAGGUGAAAUUCAUUGACCGUAGCCAGACAAACUAAAGCGAAAGCAUUCGUCAAGCAUGUUUUCAUUGGCCAUGAGCGAAAGUCAGAGGCUCGAAGACGAUCAGAUACCGUCCUAGUUCUGACCAUAAACGAUGCCAACUGACGAUCCGUGGUGGUAGUUAUUUAACCUUCCCCACGGGCAGUCCCCGGGAAACCUUUAAGUCUUUGGGUUCCGGGGGAAGUAUGGUUGCAAAGCUGAAACUUAAAGGAAUUGACGGAAGGGCACCACCAGGAGUGGAGCCUGCGGCUUAAUUUGACUCAACACGGGAAAACUCACCCGGGCCGGACACUAUGAGGAUUGACAGAUUGAAAGCUCUUUCUUGAUUUGGUGGUUGGUGGUGCAUGGCCGUUCUUAGUUGGUGGAGCGAUUUGUCUGGUUAAUUCCGAUAACGAACGAGACUCCAGCCUGCUAAUUAGUGCACUUGUCCACUGCGCCUGUGAGGGUGAUAUUGGAUAUGGUUGCUGAGGGGUUGUGGUUACGGUUGGCGUUCGCGCUCGCUGUGAUUACAUCAAGGCUCCUCGGUCGACCGCUCCGAUGUCAGCCUCCGGGUGCGGCGCGAGUGCUUACUUCUUAGAGGGACAAACGGGAGAAGCCGCAUGAGAAAGAGCAAUAACAGGUCUGUGAUGCCCUUAGAUGUCCGGGGCCGCACGCGCGCUACAAUGGCGGUGUCACAGUCAACCUUCUGGCCCGAAAGGGUUGGGUAAACUGGUCAAUCACCGUCAUGACAGGGAUCGGGGCUUGCAAUUAUUCCCCGUGAACAGGAAUUCCUAGUAAGUGCAAGUCAUAACUUGCGCUGAUUACUCCCUGCCCUUUUGUACACACCCGCCCGU
rnacentral:rRNA from 1 species